rnacentral:rRNA from 1 species
UACGGAGGGUGCAAGCGUUAUCCGGAUUUACUGGGUUUAAAGGGUGCGUAGGUGGGUAAGUAAGUCAGUGGUGAAAUCUCCGGGCUUAACCCGGAAACUGCCAUUGAUACUAUUUAUCUUGAAUACUUUGGAGGUAAGCGGAAUAUGUCAUGUAGCGGUGAAGUCUUAGAUAUGACAUAGAACACCGAUAGCGAAGGCAGCUUGCUACACAAUAAUUGACGCUGAGG